rnacentral:rRNA from 1 species
CCUACGGGUGGCAGCAGUGAGGAAUAUUGGGCAAUGGCCGAGAGGCUGAACCAGCCAAGUCGCGUGAGGGAAGACGGCCCUACGGGUUGUAAACCUCUUUUGUCGGGGAGCAAAGCGAGUCACGUGUGAAUCAUUGAGAGUACCCGAAGAAAAAGCAUCGGCUAACUCCGUGCCAGCAGCCGCGGUAAUACGGAGGAUGCGAGCGUUAUCCGGAUUUAUUGGGUUGAAAGGGUGGGCAGGAGGAGGUGCAAGUCAGCGGUAAAAUUGGGGGGCUCAACCCCGUACUGCCGUUGAAACUGCAUCCCUUGAGUGCGCGAGAAGUAUGCGGAAUGCGUGGUGUAGCGGUGAAAUGCAUAGAUAUCACGCAGAACUCCGAUUGCGAAGGCAGCAUACCGGCGCGCAACUGACGCUCAUGCACGAAAGCGUGGGUAUCGAACAGGAUUAGAUACCCUUGUAGUC